rnacentral:tRNA from 1 species
GUUAUGGCUCAGUGGUAGAGCACUUGCCUAGCACAUGUGGGGCGCUGGGUUCAAUCCUCAGCAUCACA